UUUCUACUCCCUCUGUCCGAAAAUACUUGUCAUCAAAAUGAAUAAAAAUAGAUGUAUCUAAAACUAAAAUACGUCUAGAUACAUUUCCUUUUAUCCAUUUUGAUGACAAGUAUUUCCGGACGGAGGGAGUAUUUA
rnacentral:pre_miRNA from 1 species